AAUCGACACUUUUAGAGGGUCGUUAGGGAUUACAUGAGUCAAUAUUUGCCAAGGGUUUAGCAACCGGGCACGUGGUCAUCAUUACAUGUGUUUGCUAAAUAGCACUAGUGUAGUCAGUCAACAAUGUAGGUCCUGCUGAUGCUGGGUCUGGGAGGUUGGGAAUGAGAUUUCCACUUUACAGGUGAAGAGACUGAGGAUCCGGAGAGGAAGAGACUUGCCCAGAUGGCACUCAAACCUGGGUUCUGUCUCCCUUCAACCUUCACUCUUCCAGCACCCCAGGCCACCUCCCUCCCUUCUCAGGCGCCUAGGCUGGCUCGGGUGGGCGCAGUGCCCCACACUUGACAGAGGCCCCUUUGUCCCCCUGCCCAGUGUCACACCCUGAGGGUGAGGCACGGCCGGACAAGCGCCCAGUGUCUGCGUCUGUUUCAUCGCCAGGUCUGCGGCCGCCUGGACGGCUCCAGCCACAGGACUCACGUCUUCCAAAAUGGGAUGAGGUUACCCAGUCAGUCACACAAUGGCAGAAACUAGUGUCAGGAGCCUGCAGCCCCCAAACUGAUGGAUGCCUCCAAUCUCAGCAGCAAAACGUGAACGGAAUUGAUGCCGAUGAAAACAGUUUCAGUCAAAUUACAAUGGAAUGAAAAACACAGCCAUUGUUGAUCUGUACCACAGCGGAAAAACAGAAAAAUCUGAUCAAAGAAUUAAGUUGGAUGAAUAGAGUUCAAGCUGGAGAA